rnacentral:rRNA from 1 species
AGAACGAACGCUGGCGGCAUGCCUAAUACAUGCAAGUCGAACGAACUCUUCGGAGUUAGUGGCGCACGGGUGCGUAACGCGUGGGAAUCUGCCCCUUGGUUCGGAAUAACAGUUGGAAACGACUGCUAAUACCGGAUGAUGACGAAAGUCCAAAGAUUUAUCGCCAAGGGAUGAGCCCGCGUAGGAUUAGCUAGUUGGUGAGGUAAAGGCUCACCAAGGCAACGAUCCUUAGCUGGUCUGAGAGGAUGAUCAGCCACACUGGGACUGAGACACGGCCCAGACUCCUACGGGAGGCAGCAGUAGGGAAUAUUGGACAAUGGGCGAAAGCCUGAUCCAGCAAUGCGCGUGAGUGAUGAAGGCCUUAGGUUGUAAAGCUCUUUUACCCGAGAUGAUAAUGACAGUAUCGGGAGAAUAAGCCCCGGCUAAACUCCGUGCCAGCAGCCGC